CAGGGACGGGAGGAGAGCGCGCGCGAGCCCAAGGAAAGGAGAAACAAUGGCUAGGAGAAACCAUCUGGAAACCAAGGCUGGAACGGCCUGCCCGGGUCCCGCCAAGACCUGAGCGGGUCCCGCAAUGCAGCAGGCUGAGGAGGAAGUGAGCCCCCCCAUUCCUCAGGAAAACGACCCCCUGAGAGGUGGCCUGACACCCGAGCGGGUCGUUCUCGCUCUGGACGUGACUCCCGUUUGCCCUGGCGUGUGUGAAGAUCCCGUGGAGCCCUGCAGCCUUGUGACCCAGCUUGCCUCGUUCCAAGCUGUUAUCUAAGGCUUUUGUUCUUCGGUUUCUAGGAUAGUUAGGGCUAGAUUGACUGCCCUGGAAGCAGAGGACACUUUGGGGAGCCUCGUGCUCUCCAAGCUAUCGGCGUUUUCUUUUCAUCCAGUCCGCCAGUGUGUAGGGGCUCUGCCCUGAUUCAGGCAGGCGCCCAGUGGGAAGUCUGGUGGGCUUCUCUUCUACCCCUCCAAGCAGACCGGGGGCUACAGUCAACUGAAGAGCUCAGGUAGACGUGGGGAGGUCGGAGGAGGCAUCUGGCUUUUGAAUUGAGAAGAAAACUCAAAGAAGAGUCUGACACAAAGCAGUCCCAACGUCAGGGUACGGACAGUGGCAGCCACCAGAGGCCUGCUGGCCAAGCAGCGUGGUACUCAGAAAGUUUUGAGCACCCCCGGACGCAUUCUAAUUUGAGAGAAAGGAAGAUCAGGGUAGAAUCUGGCACAGUCUUGUAGACCAGAGUAAAGAGGGAGCCACCACCUGGUCUUUUGAGCUAGAUAGUGGUGACUUCCUUGUUCUGGCCUCAGGUGAUGGGGAACGGGUGAGUGAGGCCAUUUUUGAUUCUGGCAGGAGCUAAGGCAUGCAGGACCUCACUGUGGAGGAUUAAAAAGAGUGGGGCUGAUUGGCAUUCAAGAUGCAGAUGCUCGGCUGGACUUGCUAUGUUUGGACAUGUAAAAGAAGACCCCCAUUUCUGAGCUUGCAUUUCAGUAGCAUGGGUGGCAGUCUUGCCUCUCUUAAUUGUCCUAUAAAGUAGAAAACCCAGUCAGAUUGGACUAAAAUGAACCAAUCCAGUCCUCCUGAUGUAGCUGGGCGUCUCUUUUUACAGAUGGGGAAAUAGAGCCCAACCCAGGUUGGCUUCAAACUGGCUGUGUGGCUAGAGAUGGGGCUUCAAGCUGGCAGUUUGUAGUCCACAAGCUUGGGUGAAGACUUGCAUACGCAGAAGAGAAUGCUAAAGAGCUUCUUCCAAGAGAGGCUUGGCUGCCAGUCCUCAGUACUCCGGUAACGAAGACAAGAGUGGAAAAACCGGAAUGGCAACAGAGCCACCAAAGCAGCUGACCAAGGACAUAUUGAUUUGUCCUGGGCUCCUUGCUGCCAUCUGAGCCAGCCACACAAGAAGAUAAAGACUCCAAAGAACUCACCCACGGCAAUCCAUCCUGCUUAAGCCUCCCACGGCCAAGUCCACAGUUCUCGGGAUAAUCUGCCAACUCUGCCCUUUCCAACCCCGGCCUGACCAUCACUCACAGGGGAGUCAUGGUUCAGAGCACGAGACUGGAGUCAGCCGUCCUGCGUCAGGCCCAAGGCUUACUGAGUCAAAGGAUGUUUGCAGAUGUGCACAUUUGUUUGUGAUGCCCCCAAGCUGCCUCCUAAAAAAGGCUGAACACAAUGCUGUUGACAUGUCCCACCAAUGUACAAGACCAUGCACAUCCCACAUCUCUUCCAUCUUUUUCAAUCUGUUGGAAUAAACAAGCAAGAAAAGCUGUAUUAUUCUGCUUGCCUAUCUUUAUUCUGCAUAUUUUCCUAUUUUUUAAGCUAUUUGUAUUUCUUCUAUGAGGUGUCUAUUUCUAAACAGAGGUAAUAGUUUCUUAUGUAUUUGUAGUGGUUUAUUAUAUAAUAUGAAUACCAGCUGCUGUUAUAUAUGUACUAAAGUGUUGCUUUCAUUGAUAGAUUUGGUUUAGUUUUGUU